rnacentral:misc_RNA from 1 species
AAGUCGUAACAAGGUUUCCGUAGGUGAACCUGCGGAAGGAUCAUUAUUGAAUUAUUCUUGAUGGGUUGUAGCUGGCUCUUUGGAGCAUGUGCACGCUUGUCUUGACUUUAUUCAUCCACCUGUGCACCUUUUGUAGUCUUGGAGGUCAGUCAGACUAUCGGAAAUGAAUCCGGAUGUGAGGAAUGCUGAAGUGCGAAAGCGGUACAGCUCUCCUCAAACAUGACUUGUCCCUCGAGUGCUAUGUAUUCAUAUACCACAUAGUAUGUUGUAGAAUGUGAUCAAUGGGCCUAUGUGCCUAUAACAAUCAUAUACAACUUUCAGCAACGGAUCUCUUGGCUCUC